rnacentral:rRNA from 1 species
AGGGGGCAUUGGGGCGGACUACCAUGCAGUCGAGCGGAACAAAUAGUAGCUUGCUACUCUGGCGUCGAGCGGCGGACGGGUGAGUAAUGCUUGGGAACAUGCCUUGAGGUGGGGGACAACAGUUGGAAACGACUGCUAAUACCGCAUAAUGUCUACGGACCAAAGGGGGCUUCGGCUCUCGCCUUUAGAUUGGCCCAAGUGGGAUUAGCUAGUUGGUGAGGUAAUGGCUCACCAAGGCGACGAUCCCUAGCUGGUUUGAGAGGAUGAUCAGCCACACUGGGACUGAGACACGGCCCACACUCCUACGGGAGGCAGCAGUGGGGAAUAUUGCACAAUGGGCGCAAGCCUGAUGCACCCAUGCCGCGUGUGUGAAGAAGGCCUUCGGGUUGUAAAGCACUUUCAGUCAGGAGGAAAGGUUAAUAGUUAAUACCUGCUAUCUGUGACGUUACUGACAGAAGAAGCACCGGCUAACUCCGUGCCAGCAGCCGCGGUAAUACGGAGGGUGCGAGCGUUAAUCGGAAUUACUGGGCGUAAAGCGUACGCAGGCGGUUUGUUAAGCGAGAUGUGAAAGCCCCGGGCUCAACCUGGGAACUGCAUUUCGAACUGGCAAACUAGAGUGUGAUAGAGGGUGGUAGAAUUUCAUGUGUAGCGGUGAAAUGCGUAGAGAUCUGAAGGAAUACCGAUGGCGAACGCAGCCACCUGGGUCAACACUGACGCUCAUGUACGAAAGCGUGGAGAGCAAACAAGAUUAUAUCUGCUGGUACUCA